CUGUAGGGCCUGGACAUGGCGCUGAGGGGCUGCCCCGCUGGAAGAUGAAUAAAGGCUGGCUGGAGCUGGAAAGCGACCCGGGCCUCUUCACCCUCUUGGUGGAAGAUUUUGGUGUCAAAGGUGUGCAAGUGGAGGAGAUCUAUGACCUCCAGAGCAAAUGCCAGGGCCCUGUAUAUGGAUUCAUCUUCCUGUUUAAAUGGAUAGAAGAACGCAGGUCCCGUCGCAAGGUGUCUACCUUGGUGGAUGAUACAUCUGUGAUUGACGACGAUAUUGUGAAUAAUAUGUUCUUUGCCCACCAGCUGAUCCCCAACUCCUGUGCCACUCAUGCCUUGCUGAGCGUGCUCCUGAACUGCAGCAGUGUGGACCUAGGACCUACCCUGAGUCGCAUGAAGGAUUUCACCAAAGGCUUCAGCCCUGAGAGCAAAGGAUAUGCAAUUGGCAAUGCCCCAGAGUUGGCCAAGGCACACAAUAGCCAUGCCAGGCCUGAGCCACGUCACCUCCCUGAGAAGCAGAAUGGCCUUAGUGCAGUGCGGACCAUGGAGGCAUUCUACUUUGUCAGCUAUGUGCCUAUUACAGGCCGGCUCUUUGAGCUGGAUGGGCUGAAGGUCUACCCUAUUGACAUGGGCCUUGGGGGGAGGAUGAGGAAUGGACAGAUAAAGCUCAACGGGUCAUCAUGGAACGAAUUGGCCUGGCUACUGAAGGGGAGCCCUACCAUGACAUCCGCUUCAACCUGAUGGCAGUGGUGCCUGACCGCAGGAUCAAGUAUGAGGCCAGGCUGCAUGUGCUGAAGGUGAACCGCCAGACAGUACUGGAGGCCCUGCAGCAGCUGAUUAGAGUAACACAGCCGGAGCUGAUUCAGACCCACAAGUCUCAAGAAUCACAGCUGUCUGAGGAGUUGAAGCCAGCCAGCAUCAAGUCUGCCCUUGUGCUGGAGGCAGGCAGGGCCCCAUCGGCCUCUGAGGGCACGCACACAGAUGGUGCAGAGGAGGUGGCAGGUUCAUGCCCACAGGCUCCAACUCAUAGUCCUCCCAGCAAACCUAAGCUGGUGGUAAAGCCCCCGGGGAGCAGCCUCAAUGGUGUUCCCCCCAACCCGACCCCCAUUGUCCAGCAGCUGCCAGCCUUUCUAGACAAUCACAAUUAUGCCAAGUCCCCCAUGCAGGAGGAGGAAGACCUGGCAGCGGGUGUGGGCCGCAACCGUGUUCCCGUCCGUCCACCCCAGCAGUACUCGGAUGAUGAGGAUGACUAUAAGGAUGAGGAAGAGGAGGAUGUACAGAACACCAACUCUGCCAUCAGAUACAAGCAGAAAGGAACAGGGAAGGCAGGGUCCUUAAGCAGUUCUGCAGAUGGGCAGCUAUCAGUGCUGCAGCCCAACACCAUCAAUGUCUUGGCUGAGAAAGUGAUCCGGCCUUCUGCAGCGCUCUUGGAGAGCUCCAGGUUGUCUGCCCAGGUUCCUGAGACUGAGGGUUGCCGCUGUUCCUGUGUUCGGGUAUCUCCCCGUCUGGGGGGCUGCCUGCCGUCUGUGGUUGUUGCCCGCGUGUCGGAAAUCCUGCUCCCGGGGAGUUUGAGGAGGUGA